AGAGUUUGAUCCUGGCCCAGAAUGAACGCUGGCGGCGUGCUUAACACAUGCAAGUCGAACGAGAAAGCCCCUUCGGGGGUGAGUAGAGUGGCGAACGGGUGAGUAACGCGUAAGAAUUUGCCCUUCAGUGAAGAAUACCUCCGGGAAACCGGGGCUAAUACUGCAUAAUUCCCUCCGGGGACAAAGGUGGCCUCUUGCUACCGCUGAAGGAUAAGCUUGCGUACUAUUAGCUAGUUGGUGAGGUAAAAGCUCACCAAAGCUAUGAUGGUUAGCCGGCCUGAGAGGGUGAUCGGCCACAUUGGGACUGAGAUACGGCCCAGACUCCUACGGGAGGCAGCAGUGGGGAAUAUUGCACAAUGGACGAAAGUCUGAUGCAGCGACGCCGCGUGGAGGAUGAAGGUUUUAGGAUUGUAAACUCCUGUUAAGAGGGAAGAAAGAGGCGCGGUUAAUACCCGUGCAAGAUGACGGUACCUCUAAAGAAAGCUCCGGCUAACUUCGUGCCAGCAGCCGCGGUAAUACGAAGGGAGCUAGCGUUAUUCGGAUUUACUGGGCGUAAAGGGCGCGUAGGCGGUUUGUUAAGUCAGUUGUUUAAGCCCAUGGCUUACCCAUGGAAGAGCAAUUGAUACUGGCGAACUAGAGGGCAAGAGAGAGGAGUGGAAUUCCCGGAGUAGCGGUAAAAUGCGUAGAUCUCGGGAGGAACACCGAUUGCGAAGGCAGCUCUUUGGCUUGUCCCUGACGCUGAGGCGCGAAAGCGUGGGGAGCAAACAGGAUUAGAUACCCUGGUAGUCCACGCCGUAAACGAUGAUCACUAGAUGUUGGUUUUGCUUGCAAGAUCAGUGUUAAAGCUAACGCGUUAAGUGAUCCGCCUGGGGAGUACGGUCGCAAGAUUAAAACUCAAAGGAAUUGACGGGGGUCCGCACAAGCGGUGGAACAUGUGGUUUAAUUCGACACUACGCGAGAAACCUUACCUAGACUUGACAUGUAGUCGACCGUUAUGGAAACAUAAUUUUUCUAGUUUACUAGGACGGCUACACAGGUGCUGCAUGGCUGUCGUCAGCUCGUGUCGUGAGAUGUUGGGUUAAGUCCUUUAACGAGCGCAACCCCUACCGUUAGUUGCUAGCCUUCGGGCGCACUCUAGCGGAACUGCCUUGGAAACAAGGAGGAAGGUGGGGAUGACGUCAAGUCCUCAUGGCCCUUAUGUCUAGGGCUACACACGUGUUACAAUGGCGAGUACAACGGGAAGCAAAGCUGCGAAGCCUAGCCAAUCCUUUAAAGCUCGCCCAAGUUCGGAUUGGAGUCUGAAAUUCGACUCCAUGAAGUUGAAAUCGCUAGUAAUCGCGUAUCAGAACGACGCGGUGAAUACGUUCUCGGACCUUGUACACACCGCCCGUCACACCACGAAAGUCGUCUACACCCGAAGUCGCUUUAGCUAACCCGUAAGGGAGGCGAGUGCCGAAGGUGUGGGUGGUGAUUGGGGUGAAGUCGAAACAAGGUA
rnacentral:rRNA from 1 species